rnacentral:rRNA from 1 species
GACGAACGCUGGCGGCGUGCCUAAUACAUGCAAGUAGAACGCACAGUUUAUACCGUAGCUUGCUACACCAUAAACUGUGAGUUGCGAACGGGUGAGUAACGCGUAGGUAACCUGCCUGGUAGCGGGGGAUAACUAUUGGAAACGAUAGCUAAUACCGCAUAAUAUUGAUUAUUGCAUGAUAAUUGAUUGAAAGAUGCUAUUGCAUCACUACCAGAUGGACCUGCGUUGUAUUAGCUAGUAGGUGAGGUAACGGCUCACCUAGGCGACGAUACAUAGCCGACCUGAGAGGGUGAUCGGCCACACUGGGACUGAGACACGGCCCAGACUCCUACGGGAGGCAGCAGUAGGGAAUCUUCGGCAAUGGACGAAAGUCUGACCGAGCAACGCCGCGUGAGUGAAGAAGGUUUUCGGAUCGUAAAGCUCUGUUGUAAGAGAAGAACGGGUGUGAGAGUGGAAAGUUCACACUGUGACGGUAUCUUACCAGAAAGGGACGGCUAACUACGU